rnacentral:piRNA from 1 species
UACCUAAGAUACAGAUCUUUCCUGGGACUC